UCACUUCUGUGAUGCUUUAGCACUGGGCUCUGAGCACAUGUGUAGAAAAAGUGCUGUUCUGCUACUGACAUGGCAGAAUCUGAGAAGUGU